rnacentral:rRNA from 1 species
GACGAACGCUGGCGGCGUGCCUAAUACAUGCAAGUAGAACGCUGAAGGAGGAGCUUGCUUCUCUGGAUGAGUUGCGAACGGGUGAGUAACGCGUAGGUAACCUGCCUGGUAGCGGGGGAUAACUAUUGGAAACGAUAGCUAAUACCGCAUAAGAGUAGAUGUUGCAUGACAUUUGCUUAAAAGGUGCAAUUGCAUCACUACCAGAUGGACCUGCGUUGUAUUAGCUAGUUGGUGGGGUAACGGCUCACCAAGGCGACGAUACAUAGCCGACCUGAGAGGGUGAUCGGCCACACUGGGACUGAGACACGGCCCAGACUCCUACGGGAGGCAGCAGUAGGGAAUCUUCGGCAAUGGACGGAAGUCUGACCGAGCAACGCCGCGUGAGUGAAGAAGGUUUUCGGAUCGUAAAGCUCUGUUGUAAGAGAAGAACGAGUGUGAGAGUGGAAAGUUCACACUGUGACGGUAUCUUACCAGAAAGGGACGGCUACUACGU